UACGUAGGGGGCAAGCGUUAUCCGGAUUUACUGGGUGUAAAGGGAGCGUAGGCGGCGCAGCAAGUCAGAUGUGAAAGCCCGGGGCUUAACCCCGGUACUGCAUUUGAAACUGUCGUGCUAGAGUAUCGGAGAGGCAUGUGGAAUUCCUAGUGUAGCGGUGAAAUGCUUAGAUAUUAGGAAGAACACCAGUGGCGAAGGCGGCAUGCUGGACGAUAACUGACGCUGAGGCUCGAAAGCGUGGGGAGCAAAC
rnacentral:rRNA from 1 species